AAAAAAUAGAAGAAAUAUAUCUUUGCUUCAUUGAGUAGAGGAAAGCCUUUCACUAUGUAAAUCAUACAGAAUGUAGAAGGUGUUAAGGCUAAUGGUGUGCCAGAAUACCUGAUUGUUUUUUCAAGAAACUUUUACGGCGAGCAUUGAAUUCUUGGAGUUUCUUUUGAGCUGUAUCCAUAUGAAUAAAAUUGGCUGCCUUUCCUGUGACCCAAGGAUGCUGUAAAGCUUGGAAAGUGGUUCUAAUCUAAGGACUGAUGUAUCCAGCAGAUCUCAUGUAUCAAUAUCUUUCUGACAAAUGACCGAGCUGUUAGUUCUAGCUACAAUAAACUGGAAAAGCUGAAGUAGAAUUUCAACUUUCAACUUCCUUCCCCACCAGAGGUAAUUGGGAUGGUAUGUCAAAUCAAAACAUUAUGAUGUCAUUUUAAAAACCUCAAAGUUGUCAGUGCUGAAAAAUAUAUGAGACAGUGGUGGGUUUCAAUUUUUUUUACUACCGGUUCUGUGGGCGUGGCUUGGUGGGCAUGACAGGGGAAGGAUACUGUAAAAUCUCCAUUCCCUCCCCAAUCCAGGGGAAAGUUACUGCAAAAUCCCCAUUUCCUCCUGAUCAGCUGGGAUUUGGAAGGCAGAGAAUAGAUGGGGGUGGGGCCAGUCAGAAUUUUUACUACCGGUUCUCCCAACUACUCAAAAUUUCCACUACCGGUUCUCCAGAACUGAUCAGAACCUGCUGAAACCCAUUUCUGAUAUGAGAUCCAUUUUUUCCACUGCAGAUAUUAUCCAUCUACCCUUUAUGUUUCUGUAUGCAUUAUGGCUGCUAAUUUAUAAUCAUAAUAAUGGAUGGCAUUUUGCAAUACAGAUAUUCAAGAUAGCAAAGCUAUCGGUGCAUGCUCUGAAAUUGAAGCAUGAUGAAGAAAUCAUGCUUCUUUCUUUGCCCUCUUUCAAGGCUUCUUUUAAAAUCCUACCCAGGACAAGCAA